UGCACCUGCACCUCAUCACCCACCUCCUCUGCCUGCCACACCUGCCAGCAAUCAGCCUCAUCUCCAACAGUACUUCUACCCCGGUUCUCCAGUCAACCCCUGCUUGAUUGUCGUUGCUCCUAACCCGGUUCACUCACCCUCGUCCUCUGUCAAGUCAGCUGGGCUCGCUCACCUGCCCUCUCCCCUCGGACUUCCCCCACGGCGUCCUCCCGGCUCUCCCUCGUGCCUCCCCAGUCAGCCUACCACCACACUCCUCCACCAACCCCCUGAUCAGUUCUCCCGUGCCUCCUCUCCUCCUCGGCCCCCAGUGUCCCUCUGCUCUCUGGUUUGUCUCCUUGGUUCCCCGUGCCUGCGUUUCCCCGGCAGCCACCUCUCUGUCAACUUCAGUCCCUCAACCCCUUCUUUCCCCUAAUAAAACCUGUUCAUCUUGA